rnacentral:rRNA from 1 species
UACGUAGGGCGCAAGCGUUGUCCGGAAUUAUUGGGCGUAAAGAGCUCGUAGGCGGUUUGUCGCGUCUGCUGUGAAAACCUAAGGCUCAACCUUGGGCUUGCAGUGGGUACGGGCAGACUAGAGUGCGGUAGGGGUGACUGGAAUUCCUGGUGUAGCGGUGGAAUGCGCAGAUAUCAGGAGGAACACCGGUGGCGAAGGCGGGUCUCUGGGCCAUAACUGACGCUGAGGAGCGAAAGCGUGGGGAGCGAACAGG